CGACAGUGUUACCCCUUAUAUUUUAUUUGACAAAGACAACAGUGUUACCCCUUAUUCUUUUUUUCGUGACGACCAAUAAAAAACAACAUUGUUACCCCUUAUGUUUUUUUUCAUGAUGACCAAUAAAAAACAACAGUGUUACCCCUUAUGUUUUUUUUCAUGACGACCAAGGAAAAUGACAGUGUCACCCCUCAUGUUUCAUUUGAUAAAAACGACAGUGUUACCCCCUAUGUUUUAAUUAAUAAAUAUCGACAGUGUUACCCCUUAUGUUUUUUUUCAUGAAGACCAAUAAAAUACGACAGUGUUCCCCCUUAUGUUUUUUUCAUGAUGACCAAUAAAAAACAACAGUGUUACCCCUUAUAUUUUUUUUUAAUGACGACCAAUACAAAACAACAGUGUUACCCCUUAUGGUUUUUUUCAUGACGACCAAAGACAAAAACGACAGUGUCACCCCUCAUGUUUCAUUUGAUAAAAACGACAGUGUUACCACUUAUGUUUUAAUUGAUAAAUAUGGACAUUGUUACCCCUUAUGUUUUUUUCAUGACGACCGAUAAAAAACAACAGUGUUACCCCUCAUGUUUUUUCCAUGUUGACCAAUAAAUAACAGCAGUGGCACCUCUGUCAACCUUUUGGCAGGGAUCCGAACAUGAGCUGUUUAGAGUGUUAACCUCAGAACUUAACAAUGCACCAUCAAGACACCGGAUAGGGUCAUCACAAAGGUUAUACUUGACUUUAUAAUUCACAUGAAAUAGAGAUAAGAGUCUUCCAACAGAAGAAAUAAACCGGACUUGAACGCCGGUCUCCAGGGGGUUAGCUCCCAGCUCUCUCCACUUCCCACUGCGAUUUAUGUUUUAAUUAUGUCUGAGGUUAUAUAUGACAGUGCAAAAAACAUGAUAGCAUGACGUUUAAAAUUAAAGAUAUUGUGUUUUCCACAGAUAUUGAGCCACGGUCUCCAGUGGGUUAGGCAGAGUGCACUCCACUGCACCACUGAGGCGAUGACAAAACACAAUAAUCAAUCAUCAAUAAAGAGGAUAUACAUGACAUUAAAAUGUAUGUGUGCAUUUCUAUUAUUUCCCUUAUGUUUUUUUUCAUGAUGAAAAAUAAAAAACGACAGUGUUACCCCUUAUAUUUUAUUUGACAAAGGCAACAGUGUUACCCCUUAUGUUUUUUUUAUGACGACCAAUAAAAAACAACAGUGUUACCCCUUAUGUUUUUUUUCAUGACGACGAAAGAAAAACGACAGUAUCACCCCUCAUGUUUCAUUUGAUAAAAACGACAGUGUUACCCCUUAUGUUUUAAUUGAUAAAUAUCGACAGUGUUACCCCUCAUGUUUUUUUCAUGACGACCGAUAAAAAACGACAGUGUCACCCCCUAUGUUUUAUUUGCUAAGUAUCGACAGUGUUAGCCCUUAUAUUUAUUUCAUGACGGCCGAUAUAAAACGACAGUUUCCCCUCAUGUUUUUUCCAUGUUGACCAUUAAAUAACAACAGUGGCAGCCCUGUCGACAUUUAUGCGGGGAUCCGAACAUGAGCUGUUUAGAGUGUAAACCUCCGAACUUAACAAUGCACCAUCAAGACACCGGAUAAACUCAUCACAAAGGUUAUACUUGACUUAAUAAUUAACAUGAAAUAGUGAUAAGAGUCUUCCAACAGAAGACAUCAACCGGACUUGAACCCCGGUCUCCAGGGGGUUAGCUCACAGCUCUCUCCCCUUCCCACUGAGAUUUUUAUGUUAAUUAUGUCUGAGGUUAUAUAUGCAAUAGACAUGAUAGCAUUACGUUUAAAAUUAAAGAUAUUGUGUUUUCCACAGAUAUUGAGCCAUGGUCUCCAGUGGGUUAGGCAGAGUGCACUCCACUGCACCACUGAGGCGAUGAAAAUACACAAUAAUCAAUCAUCAAUAAAGAGGAUAUACAUGACAUUAAAAUGUAUUUGUGUAUUUAUAUUAUUUCCCUUAUGGUUUUUUUCAUGACAACCAAUAAAAAACGACAGUGUUACCUCUUAUAUUUUAUUUGACAAAGACAACAGUGUUACCCUUAUGUUUUUUUUUCAUGACGACCAAUAAAAAACAACAGUGUUACCCCUUAUGUUUUUUUUUCAUGACGACCAAUAAAAAACAAGUGUUACCCUUAUGUUUUUUUUCAUGACGACCAAUAAAAAAUAACAGUGUUACCCCUUAUGUUUUUUUUCAUGACGACCAAUAAAAAACAACAUUGUUACCCCUUAUGUUUUUUUUCAUGACGACCAAUAAAAAACAACAGUGUUACCCCUUAUGGUUUUUUUUCAUGACGACGAAAGAAAAACGACAGUGUCACCCCUUAUGUUUUUUUCAUUGACGACCAAUAAAAAACAACAGUGUUACCCCUUAUGUUUAUUUUCAUAACGACCAAUAAAAAACAACAGUGUUACCCCUUAUGUUUAUUUUCAUGACGACCAAUAAAAAACAACAGUGUUACCCCUUAUGGUUUUUUUCAUGACGACCAAUAAAAAACAACGGUGUUACCCCUUAUGUUUUUUUUCAUGACGACCAAUAAAAAACAACAGUGUUACCCCUUAUGUUUUUUUUCAUGACGACCAAUAAAAAACAACAGUGUUACCCCUUAUGUUUUUUUUCAUGACGACCAAUAAAAAACAACACUGUUACCCCUUAUGUUUUUUUUCAUGACGACCAAUAAAAAACAACACUGUUACCCCUUAUGGUUUUUUUCAUGACGACCAAUAAAAAACAACAGUGUUACCCCUUAUGUUUUUUUUCAUGACGACCAAUAAAAAACAACAGUGUUUCCCCUUAUGUUUUUUUUCAUGACGACCAAUAAAAAACAACAGUGUUACCCCUUAUGUUAUUUUUCAUGACGACCAAUAAAAAACAACAGUGUUACCCCUUAUGUUUUUUUUCAUGACGACCAAUAAAAAACAACAGUGUUACCCCUUAUGUUUUUUUUCAUGACGACCAAUAAAAAACGACAGUGUUACCCCUUAUGGGUUUUUUCAUGACGACCAAAGAAAAACAACAGUGUUCCCCUACGAAUCACUGCCAGAGACCGCACUGCGAGUGAUUGACAGAAGGCAGGGCUAUAUUCGCACUGAAGCGAUGAGUGUCUGUUAACUCGCUUUCCGAGAGAAGAGAAGACAGCGCGCUGACAUACUUCUAUUUUGUGUGAUUUUGCGGAACAAAAGGUUGUUCUGCAGUUUCUAAAAACAUUUGAAUAAAUAGCCUUUAUAUUAACAUCCACCCAAAAUCCACUUGCCCGUUCGGGCAACCAGAAAAAAUCUCAACUUGCCCAAACAUUUUUUUUACUUGCCCCGGGCAAGCGGGCAACCGUAAGUGUCAUUGGCUGAACUAUAUAUUGCAUCCAUCUCUACUCCGUCUCUACUCUCACCCGAGGGAAUCCCGUGAUGUUUGUGAUUGAAGUCUCAAUGAUCUGAAUAAACUUGCCCAGAGCUCCAUAUCCAGCCUGGGUGGUUGUUAGUGUGUGCUGUGAUGAUGAAAUCAUUUAAAACUGAUCUGUUCUGUAGAGGCCUUCUGAUAUAUUGACUCAACAUCACCCUCCAAAGCAUUCUGCCAAACAACUUAUGAACCAUUUAACCCAUAAUGCCCACUCAAAAACAUCCUAGAAAGUACAAAAAUAGAUAUAUCUGGCCCUGAGAGACAACAGCUUUGGUUAAACAUUAUGUAUUUACACAUCAUUCAGGGUCGCACACCGGUGAGCUAUGAAGCGCCCAUGUACUUUAUAUGCACAGUAAAAGUAAAUUAAUACAAGAUGGAGGCUUUUUCUCAUUAGAAAAAACAUUCACAUGUCCUUUAAAAAAAACAACUGAUUGUUUGUUAAAAAGAAAGGAAGAAAGUGUUAAAAAUAGAGACAUAAUUGCCCAUUUCAUUUCACCACAUUUGUCCGUUAAACAAAUCAACCUGAAGAAUCUCCCUGGGGGGCCUCUUCAGUUUUCCUUCUAUUUACACAUUUACACACAAGCCCCCCCCCCAAGGGGGGACCGGGGAUCCAGCUACCCCCCUCCCGGUCUCCCUCCCGGUCCCCCC
ensembl:lncRNA